rnacentral:rRNA from 1 species
UACGUAGGGUGCGAGCGUUAAUCGGAAUUACUGGGCGUAAAGCGUGCGCAGGCGGUGCUGGAAGACCGAUGUGAAAUCCCCGGGCUUAACCUGGGAACUGCAUUGGUGACUGGCAGGCUUUGAGUAUGGCAGAGGGGGGUAGAAUUCCACGUGUAGCAGUGAAAUGCGUAGAGAUGUGGAGGAAUACCGAUGGCGAAGGCAGCCCCCUGGGCCAAUACUGACGCUCAUGCACGAAAGCGUGGGGAGCAAACAGG